rnacentral:lncRNA from 1 species
GUUAUGGUUAUUAGGGUAAGGGUAUAGGUUAUGGUUAUUAGGGUAAGGGUAUAGGUUAUGGUUAUUAGGGUAAGGGUAUAGGUUAUGGUUAUUAGGGUAAGGGUAUGGGUUAUGGUUAUUAGGGUAUAGGUUAUGGUUAUUAGGGUAAGGGUAUGGGUUAUGGUUAUUAGGGUAAGGGUAUGGGUUAUGGUUAUUAGGGUAAGGGUAUGGGUUAUGGUUAUUAGGGUAAGGGUAUGGGUUAUGGUUAUUAGGGUAAGAGUAUAGGUUAUGGUUAUUCGGGUAUAGGUUAUGGUUAUUAGGGUAAGGGUAUGGGUUAUGGUUAUUAGGGUAAGGGUAUAGGUUAUGGUUAUUAGGGUAAUGGUAUAGGUUAUGGUUAUUAGGGUAAGGGUAUAGGUUAUGGUUAUUAGGGUAUAGGUUAUGGUUAUUAGGGUAUAGGUUAUGGUUAUUAGGGUAAGGGUAAGGGUAUAGGUUAUGGUUAUUAGGGUAUAGGUUAUGGUUAUUAGGGUAUGGGUUAUGGUUAUUAGGGUAUAGGUUAUGGUUAUUAGGGUAAGGGUAUGGGUUAUGGUUAUUAGGGUAAGAGUAUAGGUUAUGGUUAUUAGGGUAUAGGUUAUGGUUAUUAGGGUAAGGGUAUGGGUUAUGGUUAUUAGGGUAAGGGUAUGGUAUAUGGUUAUUAGGGUAUAGGUUAUGGUUAUUAGGGUAAGGGUAUGGGUUAUGGUUAUUAGGGUAAGGGUAUAGGCUAUGGUUAUUAGGGUAAGGGUAUAGGUUAUGGUUAUUACGGUAAGGGUAUGGGUUAAGCGGAGGGACGUCCCAACGACGCUGGAUUGCAUUGACAAUAAAAGAUUAGGGCUAACUCAUCUGAACCUAUUACAUUCCUAUGUAGCAGAUGCUCUUAUCCAGAACAAUUUACAAGCGCAAUUAGGGUUAAGUGCCUUGCUGAAGGACACAGACAGAUUUUUCACCUAAUCGGCUCUGGGAUUUGAACCACAGGGACUUAAAACAGCAACCUUUCGGUUAC